UUGGGAAUAUUGGACAAUGGAGGAAACUCUGAUCCAGUGACGCCGCGUGAAGGAAGAAGGUCUUCGGAUUGUAAACUUAUUUUAUCUGGGAAGAAAAAAAUGACAGUACCAGAGGAAGAAGCACCGGCUAACUACGUGCCAGCAGCCGCGGUAAUACGUAGGGUGCAAGCGUUAUCCGGAUUUACUGGGUGUAAAGGGCGAGUAGACGGUACUACAAGUCAGAUGUGAAAUGCUAGAGCUUAACUUUAGAACUGCAUCUGAAACUGUAGAACUAGAGUACAGGAGAGGUAAGCGGAAUUCCUAGUGUAGCGGUGAAAUGCGUAGAUAUUAGGAGGAACACCAGUGGCGAAGGCGGCUUACUGGACUGAAACUGACGUUGAGGAGCGAAAGUGUGGGGAGCAAACAGG
rnacentral:rRNA from 1 species